CCCUUAGAUGUUCUGGGCCGCACGCGCGCUACACUGACGAUGGCAACGAGUUUUUCCUUCGCCGAAAGGUGUGGGUAAUCUUUUGAAACAUCGUCGUGCUGGGGAUAGAUCAUUGCAAUUUUUGAUCUUGAACGAGGAAUACCUAGUAAGCGCGAGUCAUCAGCUCGCGUUGAUUACGUCCCUGCCCUUUGUACACACCGCCCGUCGCUACUACCGAUUGAAUGGUUUAGUGAGGACUCCUGAUUGGCGCCGCCGCCCCGGCAACGGAGCAGCGGACUGCCGAAAAGUUGUUCAAACUUGAUCAUUUAGAGGAAGUAAAAGUCGUAACA
rnacentral:rRNA from 1 species